rnacentral:rRNA from 1 species
UACGAGGGGGGCGAGCGUUGUUCGGAAUUAUUGGGCGUAAAGGGCUCGUAGGCGGUCUGUCGCGUCGGGAGUGAAAACUCAGGGCUUAACCCUGAGCCUGCUUCCGAUACGGGCAGACUAGAGGUAUGCAGGGGAGAACGGAAUUCCUGGUGUAGCGGUGAAAUGCGCAGAUAUCAGGAGGAACACCGGUGGCGAAGGCGGUUCUCUGGGCAUUACCUGACGCUGAGGAGCGAAAGUGUGGGGAGCGAACAGG